UACGUAGGGCGCAAGCGUUGUUCGGAAUUACUGGGCGUAAAGCGCGUGUAGGCGGCUCUGCAAGUCGGGUGUGAAAUCCCAUGGCUCAACUAUGGAAGUGCACUCGAAACUGCAGGGCUAGAGUCCUGGAGAGGAAGGUGGAAUGCUUGGUGUAGAGGUGAAAUUCGUAGAUAUCAGGAGGAACACCGAUGGCGAAGGCAGGUCUCUGGGCAUUAACUGACGCUGAGGAGCGAAAGCAUGGGGAGCGAACAGG
rnacentral:rRNA from 1 species